UACGUAGGGUGCAAGCGUUAAUCGGAAUUACUGGGCGUAAAGCGUGCGCAGGCGGUUUUGUAAGUCUGCUGUGAAAUCCCCGGGCUCAACCUGGGAAUGGCAGUGGAUACUGGCAAGCUAGAGUGCGGUAGAGGGUAGUGGAAUUCCCGGUGUAGCAGUGAAAUGCGUAGAGAUCCGGAAGAACACCGGUGGCGAAGGCGGUCUGCUGGGGUCGAACUGACGCUGAUGCGCGACAGCGUGGGGAGCAAACAGG
rnacentral:rRNA from 1 species